AGAGUUUGAUCAUGGCUCAGAUUGAACGCUGGCGGCAUGCUUUACACAUGCAAGUCGAGCGGCGGCGCGGGGGCAACUCUGGCGGCGAGCGGCGAACGGGUGAGUAAUGCAUCGGAACGUGUCCCGGAGUGGGGGAUAACCCGGCGAAAGCCGGGCUAAUACCGCAUAUGCUCUGAGGAGGAAAGCGGGGGACCUGCAAGGGCCUCGCGCUCUGGGAGCGGCCGAUGUCCGAUUAGCUAGUUGGUGGGGUAAUGGCUUACCAAGGCGACGAUCGGUAGCUGGUCUGAGAGGAUGAUCAGCCACACUGGGACUGAGACACGGCCCAGACUCCUACGGGAGGCAGCAGUGGGGAAUUUUGGACAAUGGGGGCAACCCUGAUCCAGCCAUGCCGCGUGCGGGAAGAAGGCCUUCGGGUUGUAAACCGCUUUUGGCCGGGAAGAAAAGGCUGAGGAGAAUACCCUUGGUUUUUGACGGUACCGGCAGAAUCAGCACCGGCUAACUACGUGCCAGCCGCCGCGGUAAUUC
rnacentral:rRNA from 1 species